CCUACGGGUGGCAGCAGUGGGGAAUUUUGGACAAUGGGCGCAAGCCUGAUCCAGCUAUUCCGCGUGUGGGAAGACGGCCUUCGGGUUGUAAACCACUUUUGUAGAGAACGAAAAGUCUAUUGAUAAUACCGAUAGACGAUGACGGUCCUAUAAGAAUAAGCACCGGCUAACUCCGUGCCAGCAGCAGCGGGAAAACGUAGGGGGCGAGAGUUAACCGGAAUUACUGGGCGUAAAUGGGGUGCAGGAGGUUUUGCAGGAUGGAUGUGAAAGCCCCGGGCUUAACCUGGGAAAGCCAUACAUGACUGGAAGACUAGAGUGCGUCAGAAGGGGGUGGAAUUCCAAGUGUAGCAGUGAAAUGCGUAGAUAUUUGGAAGAACACUGAUGGCGAAGGCAGCCCCCUGGGACGCAACUGACGCUCAUACACGAAAGCGUGGGGAGCAAACAGGAUUAGAUACCCCUGUAGUC
rnacentral:rRNA from 1 species